CCUACGGGAGGCUGCAGUGGGGAAUAUUGGACAAUGGGGGGAACCCUGAUCCAGCCAUGCCGCGUGUGUGAAGAAGGCCCUCGGGUUGUAAAGCACUUUCAGUGAGGAAGAACGCCUGGUGGUUAAUACCCAUCAGGAAAGACAUCACUCACAGAAGAAGCACCGGCUAACUCCGUGCCAGCAGCCGCGGUAAUACGGAGGGUGCGAGCGUUAAUCGGAAUUACUGGGCGUAAAGCGCGCGUAGGUGGCUUGAUAAGCCGGUUGUGAAAGCCCCGGGCUCAGCCUGGGAACGGCAUCCGGAACUGUCAAGCUAGAGUGCAGGAGAGGAAGGUAGAAUUCCCGGUGUAGCGGUGAAAUGCGUAGAGAUCGGGAGGAAUACCAGUGGCGAAGGCGGCCUUCUGGACUGACACUGACACUGAGGUGCGAAAGCGUGGGUAGCAAACAGGAUUAGAUACCCUUGUAGUC
rnacentral:rRNA from 1 species